AUCACUUCUCCACCUUUUGGCAAAGACCAAGUGUUCUUAUCAGUUUAAUAUAUGAUACAUCCUUUAUCCAAGGACAAUACAUUAAAUGGAUUUUUGGAGCUGGGAGAUGGAACAGGAGCUUGCUCUAUCCACUCCACUCAUCGAUCUGGUACUGCAGUACCUCCAGGAAUGGCACAAUCCCU
rnacentral:snRNA from 1 species